UUGUACUGCGAAACUGCGAAUGGCUCAUUAAAUCAGUUAUCGUCUAUUUGAUAGUACCUUACUACUUGGAUAACCGUGGUAAUUCUAGAGCUCAUACAUGCUGCAAGCCCCGACUUCGGAAGGGCUGUAUUUAUUAGAUAAAAAACCAAUCCGCACUGGGCUCACUGGUGAUUCAUGAUAACUUCUCGAAUCGCACGGCCUUGCGCCGGCGAUGGUUCAUUCAAAUUUCUGCCCUAUCAACUUUCGACGGCUGGGUCUUGGCCAGCCGUGGUGACAACGGGUAACGGAGGGUUAGGGCUCGACCCCGGAGAAGGAGCCUGAGAAACGGCUACUACAUCCAAGGAAGGCAGCAGGCGCGCAAAUUACCCAAUCCGACACGGGGAGGUAGUGACAAUAAAUACUGAUACAGGGCUCUUUUGGGUCUUGUAAUUGGAAUGAGUACAAUUUAAUUCCCUUAACGAGGAACAAUUGGAGGGCAAGUCUGGUGCCAGCAGCCGCGGUAAUUCCAGCUCCAAUAGCGUAUAUUAAAGUUGUUGCAGUUAAAAAGCUCGUAGUUGAACCUUGGGCCUGGCUGGCCGGUCCGCCUCACCGCGUGCACUGGUCCGGCCGGGCCUUUCCCUCUGGGGAGCCGCAUGCCCUUUACUGGGCGUGCCGGGGAACCAGGACGUUUACUUUGAAAAAAUUAGAGUGUUCAAAGCAGGCUUAUGCUCGAAUACAUUAGCAUGGAAUAAUGGAAUAGGACGCGUGGUUCUAUUUUGUUGGUUUCUAGGACCGCCGUAAUGAUUAAUAGGGACAGUCGGGGGCAUCAGUAUUCAGCUGUCAGAGGUGAAA
rnacentral:rRNA from 1 species